CCCUUAAGCAGAAAGGAGGCAAGAGCGUCGCUCUGUGGACCCACACUGCCCUCUGAAGCCUUGCCAUCAUCCUCCAGCCUCACCGCAGUUCUCCCUCCAGCAGAGAGCUGACUCUCUCCCAUCAUCCCUAACUGAAGAUGGAAUGAGAAGGGACAGAAGCCAUUUCAGGAAAAAGAGAACUUCACUGAUGGAGAAAAGACUUCCCUUUUACUGCAUUUCUGCUGCUUCUCCUUUUUGCAAAGUUCACAUUUAGAUAUGGUGGUAAACCGUGGAGAGAUCACAGGAACACCAAGAACAGUUGAACCCCUGCAGAGGAAUUCAUGCUUCUGGCUGGGUCGUGGAAGGAGCAGGAGCAGGCACGGAAUCGGCUGCUCAAACCUUCAGCAACUACUAGAACCUGGGAACAUAGCCAGCCAGAGCCAUGCAGCUGUAGGAGGGGGUUUAGCUCAGCUCUUCUGCUGCAGGACUAUGACCAACCAACCCCGCCCCAGGGCUUCAUGCACCCCAGAAGUCAAAGGCAGGAAGGAGAGACACCACAACAUUUUCCCAUCAUGGACUAUGCACCUCUGAUAUGUGUGCUGCCCCUGGCCAAGAGGUAGCAGGACUCAAAGGGGGCCCACAGCUUUGGGCCCCUGCUGCUGGUCAGAGCUCCAGGAAUAACACUUCUGUGCCCCUGUAUAGUUCAGUUUGAUGGUAAAUACUGCAUAACGCUGCAUAACCCAUUGCUGAGGAUCGAACCCAGCGCCCAGUGCAUGCCAGGUGAGUGUGCUACCACUUGAGCCACAUCCCCAGCCCGACUAUUAUUUUUAUACAAAAUUCUUUGGAUCCCACUUGAUCCAAACUGGAAAGCCCCCUGGUUGCGGGAUAUAAAUCACAGUCACUUCUGUGGUCUACUCCACCCCUUCUCAUGAGUGCCUCUGCUUCACCCACCUGCCCACAGACAAUUUCUCUGCGAGCACUUUCUACUGCACCGUGGAGUCCUUGAUCCCCAAUGUUUCUUCCAUCCCUACAUCAUAAUGCUGCUCUGUGUUGCUAGCAAAAAACAAACAACAACAAACUGCAUCUAUUUAAUGAAUAUAGAGUUUCAGCUGGGGAAACUGAAGUUCUGGAGAUGGUCUGAAUGUACUUAAUGCUGUGGAAUUCUACUUGAAAAUGUUAAAAAGUAAAAAUUUUAACAUUUAUUUAUUUCUUAUUGUAUUUCGUCACAAUAAGAAUUUAUUGUAAUAGAACAUUUCCCACCAUAUAUCCCAGUGCUUCCCAGUCUUUGCCAGCCUCUCCUGACCUGUUUGUGCUGGGUCAACUCCUGAUCAUAGACCUUCCACGGCCUGUACUACUCCUUCGCAUUCUUUCUUCACUAUCCCUGAACAACUGACCCCUGGGGGCUGUAGCUACUCCACUAUGCAGAAAACCCCAAAAUGUUCAUUGCCAAAUACAACCUCCCUUUCAGGCUUCAUGUCAAUCUUGACAUCUGGACAAGUACCUCCACUGAAAAAGGGAGGGUUGAGGUUUAUCUUGAAGGAUGAGUGGGAUUUUGUUUAGCAACAAAUGAAGAGAAAGAAUAUUACUUCAGGCUUUGUAGUGAGGGGACCUGUGGCAGAUUGGCAAGCUUCACUGUGGCUGACAGAGGGGUCCUCAGUCCCCAGCUGAUGGCCUCAGGGGCUGCUUUACUGAGCUUAGAAGGAAAUCAAAACUCCCCGUGAGGCCUGCUGACUCUGCCCGCUCACCUAUCCACUCUAUGCUUUGCAAAUAGAGGGAAAAUGGCUUGGGAACCUAUCAGUCAGCCGAGGUUCUGAGAAAGUUAAGUCAAGAAAAAUGUUUUCUUUUCAUAAAUUUCCACAGGAACCCAGCUAUUAUUUUUUCCAACUUUGAACUAACCACGCAGCUUCCAGAAAAGGCUCCUCGGAGGCUUUAAGAAAAUAAAAUGUAAGCUCUGCCCUUGGCAGGUCAGACGAAGGACAAAGGCCAGCCAGCUACCACUUGCUACUAACUUGGGAUUGUAAAAGGGAGAGUUUUCAUUGCCCUAUUUUUUUGAUCAGUUGCCUGAUCCUAAUUUGUUCUAAUUAUUGUCUCCCUUUUCCCAAGAGACGAAUGGAGUUGGUUGGGGUAACAGCAGCUACUCAGACCUCUUGUAUCGGCCCCAGUAUUCCCAAAGGCUAAAAUCAAAGUGGGGAAAAGACACCUGAACUUUCCUUAUUUUCUUAUCGCCGCCCCCAACAGAUGAUAUUUUUAAAUGUUCAACUUCUUUGAUGCAAUCUCAGAAGUGCAUUAAAUAAUGAUGACAAUUAACCUUUUGGAUAACAUCUCCUAAGUUACCAUUUUUGUGGUUGGAAAUAAGGUCAAGGUUAAAAAAAAAAAACCCACAAAAAUUGUGGGGGGGAA